rnacentral:rRNA from 1 species
GACGUAGGGGGCGAGCGUUGUCCGGAUUUAUUGGGCGUAAAGCGCGCGUAGGCGGCCGCUCAAGUCGGGCGUGAAAACCCGGGGCUCAACCCCGGGCCUGCAUUCGAUACUGGGUGGCUGGAGGCAGGCAGGGGAGAGUGGAAUUCCUGGUGUAGCGGUGAAAUGCGCAGAUAUCAGGAGGAACACCGGUAGCGAAGGCGGCUCUCUGGGCCUGUCCUGACGCUCAGGCGCGAAAGCUAGGGGAGCAAACAGG